GACAGAGGGUGCAAACGUUGCUCGGAAUUACUGGGCGUAAAGCGCACGUAGGCGGCUUUCUAAGUCGGGGGUGAAAUCCUGGAGCUCAACUCCAGAACUGCCUUCGAUACUGGAGAGCUUGAGUCCGGGAGAGGUGAGUGGAACUGCGAGUGUAGAGGUGAAAUUCGUAGAUAUUCGCAAGAACACCAGUGGCGAAGGCGGCUCACUGGCCCGGUACUGACGCUGAGGUGCGAAAGCGUGGGGAGCAAACAGG
rnacentral:rRNA from 1 species